AAUGUUUGUUUCCUAUUGGAAAUAAAGAGAACUUGUGAGCCAUUCAGACCUGUUGGUAUAACCUUCAGAGAUAAAUUUAGUUCAGACUUGCUCUUUGUCAUCUGAAUCUGAAUUCUUCGCUGUUUUUACAUUAAUGGUUAAAGCACAUUACAAAGUCUGUAAUAACUGUAUUUGGUGACUGACUUACUGUCACUUGUUUCUUUAAAUGAAGCAAAGUUGCCAAAGCAAGCAUGGAUUUUUGCCUCCAUGCUUUUGCACCUGCUGUCCCUCCUUCUGGACCCUCUCCUGUCCUCACAUACCCUCACUUUGGUUAUCUGAUUCUUUAAGUGUCUGUUGAACGUGUGACAUCUUUUGGCCCCUUGUCUGGGUUAUGCACCCCUCUCGUGUCCUCCUAAAACAUCCUGUGCUAAUGCUGGCUGUAGAGAGCACUUUUAUCAGGUUCAUGAUCACGACAGUCUGUAGUACUAACUUAUACAUAGGAUUUACUGGCUACUAAUCAUAAAUACAGUGAAUUCACCUAAACAUGAAUUCACUUAAUCCUCUCAUAGCUGGGAGGUGGGUACUGUUAUCAUCACCAUUGUAUACAUGAGGAAACUAAGAUACACAGAGGUUAAGUGACUUUCCCAGGGUCACAUAGUUAGCAUGUGGGAGAGCUGAGAUUCUGAUCCAGGCAAUCUAGCUGCAGAGUCUGUACUCUUAAGUAUGAUAAGUCCGAUGCCUUUCCAAUGCCAGGACAGUCUUGCUCACAGCCAGCUGUAUUCCAGAGCCCCGCAAUUUCCUCGUACUUAGAAGGCAAUAAGGCAUACUUGUUGGAAGAGUGGAUGAAGCAUGACACUUACCUCCAGGAACUUUCCUACAUGGUGGCUUGGUCACAGAGAGAUCUGUGAGGCAGAGGCAGAGACGUACCUACGGCUGAGGGCCUGAGGAAGAAGGAGAGACUCGUGCUAUCUGGGAGCUGGGGGCUGACGGUGGGCUCAACAUUCUCCCAUGGGGAACUGGGGGCUCAGCCAGACAGUGACAGUCCCUCUCUGGUUGUGUCAGGACAUCCUGGAAUGCAUCUUGUUCUGAAUCUUGAACUAGUCACCCAGAUGACCUCAAUUUAAGAGAAAUAUUAUACGUUUGAUUUGCAUAAGUCUAUUAAAAACAAAAGCAAAAUUCUCAGUGCCGAAGAGUGAAGAAAUUAAACUUGCAGAACCAUCUGAACAAUAGUUUCCAAAGAGCAAAGAAAGAACAACUUAAAAAAAAAAAAAAGGAUUUUGAGUGCAAAGAGCUUGUGUGGAGGAAGCUGUCAUGAGCCGCCCCACCUUGCAAUGCCUGAGGUCCAUGGAGGGAAAGGAAUGUCAGCAGAGCUUGGCUGAGGAGACCCACUUGGGAAGACACAUGCCCUCCUGGCAGCUCUUCCAUCCUGAGUGCCCGGGCAAGGCAUUUAUAAGAGCUGCUAAAAUUAAUAGGUGUUUUGACAGCGCUCAAGUAGCCUUUUAUACAUGCUCAGGUAGCCUUUAAUUUCCAGAUUAGAUACGUUACAGGAGGGAAGUGAGAACAUUUGCUGUAGAAAAGUCUGAUCUGGGUCUUGCCCCUGCUUCUUGCACAUGUAGGACUUCUUCCCAGCACGUGGGGUCCUUGCCUCUUCCCCUUCCUCGGGACCCUGCAAAUCCUUCCCCUUUUCUAAACCUUCCCAGAUAAAUCCACUGCUUACUAAUUUCCUAAUUUUUGGAAAUACUACAUCAUUUAAAAUUUGUAGUGAAAUGGUAAAGGCAGUAUUAUAUGAUACCCUCCCACAUCAAGUUGUGGGGCUUAAGAUUAUUUCUGCCAAUUUCUUGAGCAUGCCACUCAACCCCUCGGAGCCGUCAUACUAAUAACAGUUCCCCGGUAUGGGGUUAUGAGGAUUAACUAAGGAGAUACAUGGAAAGUGGUUGGCACACUGCCAGGCAUACACCAUGCCUUCAUGGGCCAAUUUUGUUUAUCAGGGCCCCAGAAGCUUCUCUUUGCCUCUGGAUCCUUUCUGGUCCUGGUGGUAUCCCAGAAGUGACUCUGGGGUUCGAGGUGGUCUUGUCAACCACCACAUUCAGCAGACACAGACACAGGGAAGUUGGGUAGGGACUGAAGCUACUAAUCUAGUGUCCAUGUCCCUUGGAAUGAGGAGGAUCCCUUCUGGGCUACAGAAUAGAAUGUACUAGAGCAGCUUAAUCCCUGGUUUAUUUAUUAACCAAGUCAAGGAGAGUUUGGCUGAGGAUGUCUUUUUUCGCUCUACUCCAUGCCCCAUCUUGAUCCUUUGGUUUCAUUUAAAUAAAGAAACUGAGACCAACCCAAACAGCAAAACAAGAUUUAUUGGCCCAGAGCUGGCAGAGACAGUUCUUUGUCCAGGGGCCACUCAUUAUCAUGCAUUCCCAAGGUGUUUCUAACUUCCUGGUUCUUACUCCCUCACAGGGAUUUUUCAUGAGAUUCAAAAGCAAGUAUUCUAAAGGUUCCCCUAGGAACAAAAGCUCACUUGGGGGAGAGGCAUCCCAGGCUCAAAGUCAGUAACUUGGAAUUGGGCCGCCUGAUCUCAGGGCUGUACUGCUAGGACAGAAAGAAACCGCAGAUCUGAGCUGUGGGGAUUCCUGGGUUUGGGUCUGCUGCUGUGGUCAGGAGUGGGACAGUCUUUGCCUGGAGAUUUUCAUUUUCACAACUCUGAGUUCUCCGUUGUUUAAUCAAAAGUAGCUGAAACUAUGGGGCGGUAAGUGAGGUGGCAUGACAAGACCUGAAUUCUGGGCUGUGGGAUCAGGAUUUGGUUCUGACCAUGAUUAAUGGGGAAAUUAUUUUAAAAACAUAAGCCCCAUUGCUCUGUGCCAGACAUUUCCAGGCUGUUAACAGUUGCUAGCGUUUGCUAAGCACUUAGCGCUAAAAAGGCCCUGUGCUGGAUGUUUGUCAGGUGUUUCAUUUAAUCCUCAUAACAACCCUUCAAGGGAGGCCUCCAGUAUGAGCAUUAUAUCCCCACUCUACAGAUUUGAAACAGACGCAGAGAGGCUGGUAACUGGUCCAAAGUGAAAUAAUUAGAAAGUGGCAGAAUUGGGACUUGAACUCACAUGUGAUCAAUAUCCAAGCUAGUGUGCAUUUGGUAGAAUUCAGGAAAAAUAGCAGCAAAUUCUCUCCUUUUCCCCCAGUUCAGUGAAAUCGGUGGGAAUAGAUGUGCUCCCCUCUUCCUUAUAAUGUGGUCCACAGUCUCCCAACCCUAGUGCCUUGGACAGGGGGUGUGGAUUUACCUCCAGCAUUGUCUCAGGGAGGGAGGCUCAGGCUGGUGACAUAGCCCAGCACCAUGGGUCUGGUAAUUGCCAGGUCUGGGUAGAAAUAAGGUCCAAGUACAACUUGUACUGUGGGAAAUGUGGUGUGAGGAGGUGUCCUUCCUGUCCUUCCUCUUAAAGGAAAGGUGCCAGUUCAGUCUGGAUUUGUUUAUCAAAAGCACCAACUGCAAGGCCUUGGUGGGAAUUUUGCCCUGUAACCCAGACUGUAAAUGCCCACUGUAGGGGGGUUUGUUUUAGGGAGGAGGAUUUGAGUUGGGCCAUAUCCAGGGCUGAGGUCAAGGUUGAGUGGGGCCCAACUGAUGUGCUUUUCAGAUCGCUCAGCUUCUCUCCUGCCUCUCCUCCCAGGAUUUUAGCAAGGACCUGACCCACCCCUUUACUUCCUAGGCCUGGGACAGACAGGCCAGAGAAGUGAAGGGAUCUGCCCAAAGUCACAGUGCUUUUGGGUGGCGUCAGAGCCGGAACUCCAGUCCCUUGGUAUGCCUUUCUCUGCCCUGCCGGGCUCUUUGUUCCUGGUAAAAUGACACAGUGAGAACUUCAUGAGGAAAGUCUAUAUGCCAUUAACUUCUGUUGGUAUGUAACUCUCUUUUUGUGUUGAAGUUUCUCUUCCAGGAAGAGACACUUUAGUAAGGGCAGUUAACUGUUGGGGUUUUCCCACCAUCUUUCCCUCAGGAACUCUGAGGAGGUCAUGGUGAGCCAGCAAGAACACAGUGGUGCCUGACCUGAAGGUGCCUGACAGGCUAGGCCAGGCCAGCAAGUUACUCAUUUGGCAAAUGUUUAUGGAGCCUAGGGCCCAAACUGGAGGUCACUGUGGUAAUACUAUCACCCUGGCCAGGACAACAGGUACCAGGCGGGUGGGAGCCAUGGGCAUGUAAUCAGGCAACCAUUCUACAGAGUGGUAAUGUUUCAGAGAUGACCCAGGCUGUUCCAGGAGCAGAGCUGAUGGUUUCUCACUCAGUGGGGGACCCUGGCAGGACUCUGAGUUAACAGUGCAGCUGGGGAUAGAAGAAGGAAUGAAGGGGCAGGCAAGGGGUUCCAGGUGAGAGAGGUGAUAGUCUGGGGACAGCACGUAGUUUAUUGCCUGGAGCAAGAGCUGGAAGAGGGGAGAGAUAGGCUGGAGAGGAAGUCAGGGGCCAGGCCUUGUGAAUCUUGAUGAAGACGUUGGACAUUUUCCCGAGAGCAGCAGGGCGUGAGACCUCGAUUCCAUCUCUUGCUUGCAGCUUAAGUGGGUGUGAGAGAAGCCCUUUGAGCCCACAAAAGAAGGUGUUUUUUCAAAAGAGAAAAAGGGGCAGAAAAAGUCCUGGCCUCUAUGCCAGGGAUUAUAACUAACUCUGGCACUCCAUGCUGGCCACCAAACCAGCUUUUGCCCUUGGACAUGGUUCAGUUCCAGACCUGGGGCUAGGGAAUCUUUCGUGCAUCUUACCCCUCCGUGCUUUCUUCCCUGCCACAGGCUGCAAUGUACACUUGGUGACGUGAUUGUGGGCUCGUGCUGUCUGUCACCAGCACACUUUCAAUCUCUGAAAGCCAAAUGCUACAUCUGGUGCCUUUUUGUGUGUUUGUUUGUUUUUCUAAAUGGGACUGUCUUCUUGUAUGUUACUGUUAUGAAAGUAAUAUAUGUUCCUUACAACAAAAAAUUAAACAUCACAGAAGUGUAUACAACCAAAAGUGAAAUUUCCUGCCUCCUUUUAUAAUCCCAUUUCCCUAAGAAAAUCAUCCUUCCAGACAAAGGAACGCAUAUACGUGUAUGCCUAGACAUUUUCUAUUGCAGGAUCCCACGUAAAAACAGGCUCCCUGGUCCCUUAAAACGUCCUUCAGUUCUUUUUGGAAGUCCCCAGAAGGGUGUCUCCCCUGUGUCCAUAACCCUGUUGGUUGUCCCUCCACAUAGCAACUUCUGUGUCCCCUCUCCCAUGCUUCUAGUGUAUCUGCUGCUCACAGAAGCUUGAAGAAACUCACAGAAGCCAAACACCAAAGUCCAGGUCAUGGGUGCCAUGUCUUCAAAGCUUCCUGUCCUUGGCUGGCAGAGUUGAGACAGUCCUCAGUGGUGUUCCACCAGAGUGUCAAUGAGGCUUAGUCACAGCAAAUGCCAGCCAGGAUUCAUCCAGUGGUGGGGCAAUCCUGCUAAGUGACUUUGGAUUACACUGAAGUGUUAUGUGUGUGGAGCAGCCCUGCUUCAGAAAGUGCUUGAACUAGGAAGCCUGUCUGUGGACCAUAUAGAGAAGACCGCCUUGGCAAGGCACCGUUUGCUCUCCUCAUCCACAAGUCUCUUAAAAUGGUUUGGAUUAAAAACGAUUAUGUUCUGA